rnacentral:misc_RNA from 1 species
GAUGAAGAACGUAGCGAAAUGCGAUACGUAAUGUGAAUUGCAGAAUUCAGUGAAUCAUCGAGUCUUUGAACGCGCAUUGCGCCCCCUGGUAUUCCGGGGGGCAUGCCUGUCCGAGCGUCAUUGCUGCCCUCAAGCACGGCUUGUGUGUUGGGCCUCCGUCCUCCUCCCGGGGGACGGGCCCGAAAGGCAGCGGCGGCACCGCGUCCGGUCCUCGAGCGUAUGGGGCUUCGUCACCCGCUCUUGUAGGCCCGGCCGGCGCUUGCCGACACAUCAAUCUUUUUUCCAGGUUGACCUCGGAUCAGGUAGGGAUACCCGCUGAACUUAAGCAUAUCAAUAAGCGGAGGA